GCCGAUGUGGCGGAAUUGGCAGACGCGACGGUCUCAAAAACCGUUGGGUAAAACCGUACCGGUUCGAUCCCGGUCAUCGGCACCA
rnacentral:tRNA from 1 species